rnacentral:sRNA from 1 species
CCUGUGUGUGAAUGUGAAUCAUUUAGUUAAUCAUUUUUAGUAACGUCAUGUAUUAAUUGUUUGCAAUACUCCUGUCUUAAGUCUUACUGUCAGACGAAAGUCUCAUUCAUUAGAACUAGAUCUAUAGUUUGGUGUUUAUCGUAUUUAGGUUUAAUUUCAUAGUUUGUUUGUAUGAGUAAGUUAUAUACACUCCUGGCUGUGAAAGCAGGUAAGAAGUAACUACGAUCUAGCGUAAUCUAGACUAGAUCUGGGGAACAAUCGAGGUGAAGCCGGAUUGCCCAUUUGUAAUUUUAGUAUUUGUAAAUAGACAGGUUGUUCUAUUUACCGGCGACUCGUGUGAGUAACACGUAGUCGGUGGAUUGUGCGUGUGUCGCACAGCGUAUUCAGUCGGGUCAAAGGGUAGUCUACACACUGGUACCAAGGAUACUAAGUGUAUCUUGGAAAGUACAGAAGUUAUUGUAAGUCGGAGUUGGUAGUCUAGACGCCAAGGGUAGAGUGACAAAUUUAAUUUAUUUGAAUCAAGAGGUAUUAGGCCUGUGUGUAAGAUAAUUUAAAUAAAAAGCGAGGUAAAGUAACAAAGGUAAUAUGGCAGCUACUUCAGGUUAUGACCUGGAAGAAUUUAGAAAAAAGCUAAUUCAUGAAGCUAAGACAGAACUAGAACUGCGCGGCAAAGAACUAACUGCUUAUGUACAGCAGAUGGUGGCGGCAGAAGCAGAACGCUUGGAGAGAGAGAAAGCUAGAGGCAGAGAAA